rnacentral:rRNA from 1 species
GACAUUUGGUAGAGACUGUUGAAGCCACCUGGUCCCAGCAGACCCCAGAGAACAGCCAUUGUUCCACAACCUGGAACAAGGUCAUUAAGGAUGAAGUCUGGUGCCACAUGUGU